AGAGUUUGAUCCUGGCUCAGGAUGAACGCUGGCGGCGUGCCUAACACAUGCAAGUCGAACGAAGCUUGACGGAUGAUUUCUUCGGAAUGAAACCUGAUAUGACUUAGUGGCGGACGGGUGAGUAACACGUGAGCAACCUGCCUUUCAGAGGGGGAUAACGGCUGGAAACGGUCGCUAAUACCGCAUGAUGUGUUCGGAUGGCAUCAUCUGAACAUCAAAGAUUUAUCGCUGAAAGAUGGGCUCGCGUCUGAUUAGAUAGUUGGUGGGGUAACGGCCUACCAAGUCGACGAUCAGUAGCCGGACUGAGAGGUUGAACGGCCACAUUGGGACUGAGAUACGGCCCAGACUCCUACGGGAGGCAGCAGUGGGGAAUAUUGCACAAUGGGGGAAACCCUGAUGCAGCAACGCCGCGUGAAGGAUGACGGUUUUCGGAUUGUAAACUUCUUUUCUUAGUGACGAAGACAGUGACGGUAGCUAAGGAAUAAGCAUCGGCUAACUACGUGCCAGCAGCCGCGGUAAUACGUAGGAUGCAAGCGUUAUCCGGAUUUACUGGGUGUAAAGGGAGCGCAGGCGGGACUGCAAGUUGGAUGUGAAAUACCGUGGCUUAACCACGGAACUGCAUCCAAAACUGUAGUUCUUGAGUGAAGUAGAGGCAAGCGGAAUUCCGAGUGUAGCGGUGAAAUGCGUAGAUAUUCGGAGGAACACCAGUGGCGAAGGCGGCUUGCUGGGCUUUAACUGACGCUGAGGCUCGAAAGUGUGGGGAGCAAACAGGAUUAGAUACCCUGGUAGUCCACACUGUAAACGAUGAUAGCUAGGUGUGGGGGGUCUGACCCCUUCCGUGCCGGAGUUAACGCAAUAAGCUAUCCACCUGGGGAGUACGACCGCAAGGUUGAAACUCAAAGGAAUUGACGGGGGCCCGCACAAGCAGUGGAGUAU
rnacentral:rRNA from 1 species